rnacentral:lncRNA from 1 species
AGUAAUGAUACAGCCACAAACUCUUGUACAAAUUUAUUUUGUACAAACUGACGUGUCAUUAAUUCAUUGGUUGAAUGAAAAUAUAAAAUAAUAAAAAUAAACUAUGUGGGUCAAGUGAUAUUUAAUUCAAUCAAUCUUAUCGUGCCACAUCAGUUUGUACAAAAUAAGUUUGUACAAGAGUUUGUGGCUAUAUCAUUACUC